CAGGAGAGCAACACUGCAGAUACGAAAGAUCACAGAAGACCCAAGCGUCAGUGUCACAGUUCUUCAUACCCCAAUCAUCUCCUGAGGUUGAUACGGUUGAAGCCACGCCCUCACGUAACGGCUCUAGAAUGCGUAAUCUUCUACAAGAUUCUUUCCCCCGCGCCAUUCCCCCCUCGCUUGUGCAAGGAAGAACUUGACUGCUCAAGUUUCAGCUCAAUUUAAUUUGCUGAAUGGAGCUGAUAUGGACCUGAAGGAUUCCUCGCGGGUCAAUGUGGAGGCUGAUAUAUUCGACGAACUACUGAGAUCUGCUAAAGUAUCUUUCAAGGUGUCCACUGAGCUCUCUGCUGAGAGCGAGGUGUCAGAUGCCUCCUUCGUCUCAGAAGAGGGGUUGUUCUCACCAUUCCAGCCUGUGAGGUCAUCUUCAUCAGUCGAGUCUGUGAACUCCACAGCUUCAACAGUGAGCCAAAAAGAAUGGAAAAAGUGACAACUGACUGAGGGACCACCUGACUGUAACAUGGCAAUAGAUGAGCAUUACUAUGAUCCUCGCAGUGGUCAAGGUUACCUGGCCUAUAGAUUGAAAACAGUGAGCGUAACAAUACAGGCAAAUCCGACACGAAUGCCAGGCCUGUUUAUGAAGGUAGCCUGAAGGUUCUGCGAGAGACCUCAGCAUCUGAACAGCUAUCAGGUGAUGAAUGCAUGGAGGCAAUGUCCAUCAUGAAACAUUCGGUGGACUAGCCAGUUGUCAAAGAAAAAAUGAAGGCAAUGUUCAAGCAUAGACAGAAGAUGCUACGCGAUCCUGACCAGUCCUCGCUUGUCCUGGAUCACUUCCCCCGAUUCCUGGAUACACCAGGCCUGAUAAGAA
ensembl:lncRNA